rnacentral:rRNA from 1 species
UAGUACGUGAAACCGUUCAGGGGUAAACCUGAGAAACCCGAAAGUUCGAAUGAGAAGAUUCAGUAUUUUACAUUAGGUCGAGCAUAGUAUUUUAUGUGAUAAUUUUUUAAUGUGUUUUACGACCCAUUAAUAUUACACUAAUUUAUUAUGAUAAUUUGGCUAUGGAAAUAUGCACUUCUUCUCUAGUAGGACGUUGCAACUCAUUGGAUGUUAAUCUAAGGAACCAUAGGGCAGCCUAUUUUAUAUAUAUUUCGGUAUAUGUGAUUUAGACCUAAGGUAACACCCGAUUAACUUGUUCGAUGGUAUAUUAAUAAUAUUGGGCCGCCUAUAUGGCAUUCAAACUAUUUUCAAGUGUGUACGGAUAAAAUUUUGGCUAUCAGACCUAGUGCUGUUACUGAAACCGUUAUACUGUUGGAUUUUAGUAUAUUGAAUAGACCCUUUAUAUUGGUUAGCAACGCUUUAGCUUUGGGUACUUUCAGGACCCGUCUUGAAACACGGACCAAGGA